rnacentral:rRNA from 1 species
AUUGAACGCUGGCGGCAGGCCUAACACAUGCAAGUCGAGCGAGCGGCGGACGGGUGAGUAAUGUAUGGGGAUCUGCCCGAAAGAGGGGGAUAACUACUGGAAACGGUAGCUAAUACCGCAUACUAUCGGCUGAACCCAUAUGGUAUUAGCUAGUUGGUGAGGGAAUGGCUCACCAAGGCGACGAGCCCUAGCUGGUCUGAGAGGAUGAUCAGCCACACUGGGACUGAGACACGGCCCAGACUCCUACGGGAGGCAGCAGUGGGGAAUAUUGCACAAUGGGCGCAAGCCUGAUGCAGCCAUGCCGCGUGUAUGAAGAAGGCCUUCGGGUUGUAAAGCACUUUCAGCGAGGAGGCGUUACUCGCAGAAGAAGCACCGGCUAACUCCGUGCCAGCAGCCGCGGUAAUUC